rnacentral:rRNA from 1 species
ACUUAUUAAAUAAGUAAGAGUGAGUGGUGAAUGCCUUGGGUCUGGAAGUCGAAGAAGGACGUGAUUACCUGCGAUAAGCAUUGUGGAGCUGGAUAUACGCUAUGAAACAAUGAUUUCCGAAUGGGGAAACCCA